rnacentral:rRNA from 1 species
GACGUAGGGCGCGAGCGUUGUCCGGAUUUAUUGGGCGUAAAGAGCUCGUAGGCGGCUUGUUGCGUCGACUGUGAAAACCCGUGGCUCAACCAUGUGGUCUGCAGUCGAUACGGGCAGGCUUGAGUUCGGUAGGGGAGACUGGAAUUCCUGGUGUAGCGGUGAAAUGCGCAGAUAUCAAGAGGAACACCUGAGGUGAAGACGGGUUGCUGGGCUGACACGUGACGCUGAGGCGCGAAAGCCAGGGGAGCAAACGGG